ensembl:snoRNA
AUCCUUUCUUUGGUUCAUCAGCAUGAAGCUUAAAUGUCCACACCGUUGAGUGGCAUGUGUCUCCACAAACUUUGUUACCACAUCAGAGCAAUACCAGUCUGAUG